CUCCUAGUCCGACGUACAUCAUGGAUUGGACUCCUCUUCUCCUCCUGUUCCUCUUUUACUGCACAGGUUCCUUCUCCCAGCCUGUAGUGACUCAACCACCCUACCUCUCUGUAUCUUCUGGAGCAAACGCCAGACUCACCUGUUCUCUGAGCAGUGGCUCUCCACUUUCUGACUACCACAUUUCCUGGUACCAGCAAAAGACAGGGAACCGUCCUCAAUUUUUACUGAGAUACUACUCAGAUUCAAAUAAACAGCAAGGCUCUGGGGUUCCCAACCGCUUUGUUGGAUCCAAAGAUCCCUCAGCCAAUGCAGGAAUUUUGUUCAUCUAUGGACUUCAGUAUGAGGAUGAGGCUGACUAUUACUGUCAAGCAGAUUAUGCCAAUUAUGGAAGUUGCACAGUGGUUAAAAUGAAGGGAGAAGUGCCUGAACAACGAUUCCAGGGAGUUAGAACUUUUGGAAAAGGCAAAGGAUAG